UUUUGCUCUAGCAGGGAGAAUGAUCUCUUUGAUCUUUGAUUAAGAAGAAGACGUGUUUUAGGUUAGAAUGGGUAUCAGCCUUGUGAUCCAUUACACCAUGCUGGAUUUAUUAAAAUUGUGUUGAUGUACUUUAGCUUCAGAGGAAGAAAAUCGAACAAAAUGGGUGGAGAGAAUUCAACACCGACGCCUCCAGAAGACUUUGAAGAAUCAGACUUUGAUGAACCAUGGAGAAAAGUGGACUGGAAGAUUUUUCAACCACGAUUCAGUUAAAUGAAUAAAAAAUGUGAGGAUGGGAGUCCACACCAGCUUAUGUACCUCCACCAACUCCACCAGGGUCACGGGGAAACCUGGAGCCUAUCCCAGGGAGCAUCGGGCACAAGGCGGGGUACACCCUGGGCAGGGUCCCUUAUAUGAUCUCACAUGAAAUUAAGUGAUGUUAUUUAUAUCACAGUUCCUAUGCAAGGCCUUUUUAAAAUAACUGAAAAGUUUUGAUCUUCACUUAUCAGGAUUGUCCCAAUUCACCUGAAGUCACCCUGCACAUUACCUUACAGGGCUCAAUAACCGUGUUGUAUAAUUUUUUAACAAAGUUGAUCAUUAAUAUUAUCCAAUGAUAGCUAGAUGAUUAUCUAUGGCCUUUUGUGUUUGUAAAAUGCUUUUACUUUCCAUUUGCAUUGGAAUUGAGGCCAAAUGAGAGGCUACAUGUCCAUGUCCAUGUCCGUGUGUGUGUGUGUGUGUGUGUGUGUGUGUGUGUGUGUGAGAAUACUGAAGGUAUAAAAGUGGGAACUGGGGAAGCUGCUCUAACAGUCGACCCAGUCAGAAGCUAUUUGCCUCACGUAAUCAUCUUGGAAAAAAAGAGGACGAAGCCUGCAAACUGGUUAAAGAGGACCUAAGAAAGGUCUACACCAGCAAGAAGAUCAGAGAAAAGCAUUGUUCAUCUGGAUUCAUUGAACUGAAUAAAUUGGGAGGGUCUGAGUCUACACCUCAACGACCUCGAACACCUCCACAACCUCGAACACCUUCACCACCUCCAUCGCCUCCAUCCUUACAUAUGUAUAGGGCAGGAUCAACCAAGAUGAGCCUUGUGAUUUGUUUCUAAGCGUGACGUACCGAGAACGCCGCCAUAGCGACUGUGGUCCUGCUUCUGAAUCAGGGGUUUUAGGAAGUGUUCGAAACAUCGCUGCCAUUCUAGAAAUGUCCACAUUAGGAGGCAGAGCCAAAGGAGCUAGCAGGAAUUACUUACAGGCGAGCCCGGACAUCCUCAGAUGAAACCAUGACUCUCUGAGUUCAGACGAAGAGAUCCAGAGUCGCCAUCACACCAUCAGCGGCCCCUUAACUGACUACGAGAUCCCCAUUGCACAGCAAGAGGGCACAGAACAAGGCGAAGUUACCAAAUCUCUGCGAAUUACUGAUGAACCAAUGGAAACACUCCCUGAGAGACCAACCCCAGAGCCCCGCCCCCGCUCCAUGCUCACUCAAGAAGAGUGGUCACGUGUGGAUGCCACGGCAACCUUGAGGAGGCCCCGCACACCUCACGACUCGAGCAGCGAGAGGGUCCAGCUCAACGAGACCAGCACUGUGAGACGACGGCCAAAAGUAAUAGCACCCACUCAGAGGGAUGAUGCGACAGAUGCUGCUAUUCGUGUAAGACCUGUAUCAGAGGUGGAACAUGUAUAUCGGGAAAGUGAUAUGAGCGAGGAUUUCCGGCGAGCGCUGAAGCCUCCAGUUUCCCCCAAACCAUCUUUGGGCCUCAGGAAGCCUGAGCCUCCCACCCCAACCAGGAGAGUCCCACUUCCAGGACCGGAGAACCAACACAGCACAGUGGAGGGCAAAAGAGUUCCACCGCCUGUGUCUCCAAAGCCAAGCCCUCCUCCUACACUUCCUAAACCAAUCAAAAUGAAGCCCUUACCAACACACACACUUACCCCACCCAGUGACCUAAACACACACCCACACUCCUCUACCAUUCUCCCCGAGCAAGUGGAUCAUCCUAUACUCAGUCCAUCAACCCCGACCCCCAAACCAGCAGAAUCUCACACUUUGUCCCCAUGACCUUUGACAUCUCCCGCUCAGAGCCCCCAAACCCCCCAAACUCCUUCUACCCCUGGGUGCGGAUCUGCCCCAGUCAAACCCCCGAGAUCUUCCAUGGCAGGGCUGUCAGUGGACAUUCCCAGCCCUUUUGAGGCAGAGCCACGAGAGGUGGAAAAACACAACGAGGAUGACGAGCAAAAGAGACAAAGGAAAGAGAUAGCAGUGAUUAAGGGGCAAGAGAUGGGAACUUCCAGCGAGGUCACAAAGCUGACAGAGGGAUCAGAGCAGGUGCUGAUGAGGCAGAGGAAAGUGGGUGUGGCCAGACAGAUGCAGAUCGAAGGAGACAUCGAAAGCACAACAGAAGAUGGCGUUGUAACUGCAGAUGAAAUUCGACAGAGGGCGCCAAAUGUCAGCGGAACGGAUGAAGGCAGAAUUCAUGGAGAAGAAGAAAUAAACCAGCUAAGGCUGGACGAGACCAGUGCCUCCUUAGCUGCAGCACUGGAGGUUGUAGAGGAAAGGAUCAUGACCGAAGACAAUUCUGAAACGGAGAAUAAAAGCACUGUCAACAUUCUUGAUGAUAUUGGAAGCAUGUUCGAUGACCUCGCUGACCAGUUGGAUGCCAUGCUGGAUUAAAAAUGAAAAAGAAAAAAAAAGCACAAAAUAAAUCGUAAACAGAAAAGCACAGCAUCGUCUUCAUCUGAGCGCCUGAUCUGUUUAAAGCCACGCUUCAAUGAAUAAACAAAUAAACACUGAUUUGUUGAUCUUAUCAAGGAUUUUUUUUUUUUAAAAGGACCUACUGGAAGGCAGAGAUCUUGGGUUUAAAUCGUUAAAUCCAUGAAACAUCGACAUCAACAUCGUUUGGUGAAGGUUUUGGAGCCAGGACGUACGGACUGUUCUCAUGCUGCUUCCAGAGAUAAGCACAAUUAAAUGCUAACAAACUAUUUAAACAUUGUUAAGGUCAAGAAAUGCUAGCAAUGUGUCAGAGUGUGUGUGUGUGUGUGUGUGUGUGUGUGUGUGUGUGUGUGUGUGUGUGUGUGUAUUUCUAUGUGUGUACUAUGUUUGGGCUUUCCUUCACUGGCGAUCGACAUUUGUGUAUUCAUUUUUCAAUAAUAAUUGGAAUCACCAUUUUUGUGCUUUAAUGUUGAGUUGGAUACCCAGCUAUGACGUUUUCAAAGGGGAACAGAGGACAAAAUUUUGGAGGGAAAAAAACCCCUGAUUGAUAUGUUAAGGAAUACGCUAAAAGUCGAGGAACAUUGCUAGCUAGCUGAAAUAUUUCACAAUAUUUAGCAAAUAUUAGCACAAUAUUUCAUCUUUUCAUCUGAAAGACUCUGUCUCUCUAAGAUCCUCUUUUUAUACCCAAUCAUCUCACUGACCUGAUCCCAAUUAACCUCCAGCUGUUUCUUUUUUAGUAACACUUACUUUUCCAGCCGUUUGUUGCCCCGUCCCAACUUUUUUGAGACGUGUUGUGGCCAUCAAAUUCAAAAUCACCUUCUUUUUUAUUUCUUAAAAUGGUACAUUUGCUCAGUUUAAACAGUUGAUAUAUUUUCUAUGUUCUAUUGUGAAUAAAAUAUGGGUUUAUGAGAUUUGCAAA